rnacentral:rRNA from 1 species
UAGUAACGGCGAGUGAAGCGGGAAGAGCUCAAAUUUGAAAUCUGGUGGCCUCAGGUCAUCCGAGUUGUAAUCUAUAGAAGUGUUUUCCGUGCUGGCUCAUGUACAAGUCCCUUGGAACAGGGCGUCAUAGAGGGUGAGAAUCCCGUCCUUGACAUGAACUACCAGUGCUCUGUGAUACAUUUUCAACGAGUCGAGUUGUUUGGGAAUGCAGCUCAAAAUGGGUGGUAAAUUCCAUCUAAAGCUAAAUAUUGGCGAGAGACCGAUAGCGAACAAGUACCGUGAGGGAAAGAUGAAAAGCACUUUGGAAAGAGAGUUAAACAGUAUGUGAAAUUGUUGAAAGGGAAACGAUUGAAGUCAGUCGUGCUCUUUGGAUUCAGCCGGUUCUGCCGGUGUACUUCCUUUGAGUGGGGUCAACAUCAGUUUUGAUCGCUGGAUAAAGGCUGGAGGAACGUAGUACCCUUGGGUAAACUUAUAGCCUCCUGUCACAUACAGUGGUUGGGACUGAGGAACGCAGCACGCCUUUAUGGCCGGGAUUCGUCCACGUACGUGCUUAGGAUGUUGACAUAAUGGCUUUAAACGACCCGUCUUG